rnacentral:rRNA from 1 species
CCUACGGGAGGCAGCAGUGGGGAAUAUUGCGCAAUGGGCGAAAGCCUGACGCAGCGACGCCGCGUGAGGGAUGAAGGUCUUCGGAUCGUAAACCUCUGUCAGCAGGGAAGAACGGUCACUGUGCUAAUCAGCAGUGAAUUGACGGUACCUGCAAAGGAAGCACCGGCUAACUCCGUGCCAGCAGCCGCGGUAAUACGGAGGGUGCGAGCGUUAAUCGGAAUUACUGGGCGUAAAGCGCUCGUAGGCGGUAUGUCAAGUCAAGGGUGAAAUCCCCGCGCUCAACGUGGGAACUGCCUUUGAAACUGGCAAACUGGAUGGUUGGAGAGGGGAGUGGAAGUCCAGGUGUAGGAGUGAAAUCCGAAGAUAUCUGGAGGAACAUCAGGGGCGAAGGCGACUCUCUGGCACAUAACUGACGCUGAGGAGCGAAAGCGUGGGUAGCAAACAGGAUUAGAUACCCGAGUAGUC